UACGGGGGGGGCAAGCGUUGUUCGGAAUUACUGGGCGUAAAGGGCUCGUAGGCGGCCAACUAAGUCGGACGUGAAAUCCCUCGGCUUAACCGGGGAACUGCGUCCGAUACUGGAUGGCUUGAGUUCGGGAGAGGGAUGCGGAAUUCCAGGUGUAGCGGUGAAAUGCGUAGAUAUCAGGAGGAACACCGGUGGCGAAGGCGGCUAUCUGGACAGAGUCUGACGCUGAGGCGCGAAAGCUAGGGGAGCAAACAGG
rnacentral:rRNA from 1 species